CCAAGCUUUUAGAGGCACUUUUUUUCAGCAAAUAUUAAAGAACCGACGUCAUAGGGUUGGAAUUUUUUGGAAGGGAUUUUGACACCACCUAUGGCGUCGGUUAUUUGGAAAUAACCGACGCCAUAGGGUGUCCCCCCUAUGGCGUCGGUUAUUUCUAAAAAAACCGACGCCUAAAGGGUUUAUAACCCUAGCCCAGCCCAUCAUCUUCCUCAUUCGACCAGCCAACCCAGAAACCCCCAAACCAGAGAACCCCAAACCCUCUCCGCCAACCACCACGAAAAACCACCCCCAUUUCACCAUUUUUUCACCAUUUUAGCUCAUUUUUGUUUCUAAAUCUUCUAUUUUUCAUACCUAAAACUAUAUACCUGAAAAGAUCACAUUUUUCCUCAUUUUUAGGGUAAACCGAAGGUAGAGGUAGUGGUGGUGGUGGUUAUACCUCCGGCCACCGUUUUUAGUGGAGAAAACAUUGUAUUUCAACGUCUAUUAAGGUUGUGAGGUCAAUUUGCAAGGAUCUGACUUAUUUGGUAUUGAUCGGUUUCUAGUUAGCUCGAGGUAUACACUCACUAAAUUUUAUUAUAAAUUAAUUAUGAAUGCUUAGUAGAGUUUGAAUAUCUUAAAUAUUCAUCCGUAGUGAAGUAGGUUCUGUAAUAUAUUGUAAUGCGCCGGAUCGAUGGGUGAAAUAAUAUGCAUGUUAGAUGAGUUUGAAUAUCUUCAAUAUUCAUCCUUAGUGAAGUAGGUUCUGUGAAUACAUGUACUGCAGUCGAAUGGGUGGUAAAUUUUUAUAUUGCUAAAUGUUGUUGUGAUUAUUUCAUAUUGUUUUGAAUUGUGUUUUGUUGUUAUUAAUAGGUUUGAAUUUUUCGGAAACGUUCAAUUAUAGUCGUUAUGCUGCCGAAAUUUCAGUAAAAUUAGGAUAAUAUUUGAUUUUAAUUUCUCUUAAACUUGGUUGUUAGGAUUUUAUCGGAAGUGACUUUAUCAGAAGACAAGUACAUAAUUUUUGGUAUAAGGUAUGCUUUCUUUAACCUACUUUUAUAAGAAUAUUUUUCAUAUAUAUUUAGAUAAUCUUUAAAUGCUUAAAGUAAUUUUAGAAUAAUAUUGAUGUAAUACAUAGGAUAUAUAUUGUUGAGUGCUAAGGAUAGAUAUAGUAAGCUAUAAAAAAAAUACAAAAAAGGUCUAUAUUGGGAUUUGAACUUGUGACCAAAAGGAUAGAUUGAUAAGUUUUUACCAAUAUACCAAAACACACUAGAAUUAACAAAUACAUUAUAAACAUUAAUUCUAAUACUUAAAAUAAGAAUUCUAUUAGUUUAUGUUAAGUAAAAUAGCAAAAUAAAACACAAAAAAUACCCAAGUUCAAAAAAAAAAAAAUCGCCUCAA